rnacentral:rRNA from 1 species
UACGGGGGGGGCAAGCGUUGUUCGGAAUUACUGGGCGUAAAGGGCUCGUAGGCGGCCAACUAAGUCGGAUGUGAAAUCCCCAGGCUUAACCUGGGAACUGCAUCCGAUACUGGAUGGCUUGAAUCCGGGAGAGGGAUGCAGAAUUCCAGGUGUAGCGGUGAAAUGCGUAGAUAUCUGGAGGAAUACCGGUGGCGAAGGCGGCUUCCUGGACCAGCACUGACGCUGAGGCGCGAAAGCUAGGGGAGCAAACAGG